UACGUAGGCAGCAAGCGUUGUUCGGAAUUACUGGGCGUAAAGAGUGUGUAGGCGGUGCUCUAAGUCUGUUGUGAAAUCUCCCGGCUUAACCGGGAGGGUGCGGCGGAAACUGGAGUGCUUGAGGGUGGGAGAGGUAAGGCGGAAUUCCUGGAUGUAGCGGUGAAAUGCGUAGAUAUCAGGAGGAACACCUGUGGUGUAGACAGCUUACUGGACCACUUCUGACGCUGAGACACGAAAGCGUGGGUAGCAAACAGG
rnacentral:rRNA from 1 species